rnacentral:sRNA from 1 species
UGUGAAUGCCCUCCUUGGGCGUUUCCUCCCUAGAUUUUACCGCGCUUCGAGCGCGGUUUUUUUUGGACCCG